GUUUCGAGGGGUGGUGAAAUUCCACACCGGAGGUAAUAGUCCUCGACCGCGAUAAAUCGCGCUGAUUCGGUGAAAUUCCGAAACCGACGGUUAAAGUCCGGAUGGAAGAAG
rnacentral:ncRNA from 1 species